ensembl:lncRNA
AGAUUGUCGUUUGCGCAUUAGCUCCGCCCAUUACCAGAAAACCCGGCAGUUCUUAAAAGCUGGAGAAUUCCAAAAGAACAUCGUUUACAUGUAGCGCGUCAAUUCUCUUUCUCUCUGCGUGUGUGUGAGACAAAGCGACGGCGAGUCGUGCGCCUUCACACUAGAGUUCACGGUACGUCAAAUACAGUUACAGCUAUAGGGAUUUCCUGGGUUUCUUCUGCAAGGUGUAUUUGGAGUUCCCGUGCGAGAGCACCCUCUGGCCUUCGGAUGGAGAUUUACUACUGAUCACAGAACCGUGCUUCACUGACAAGCAGACAAAGCAGCUCUUCAGUGUGGAGCUGAUACAAUCUUUUUAUUAGUGAGAAAAUAUAUUAUUUCAUUAAAGUGAUAGUUUGGUUUGCAGAGAUCAAAGCUUGAUCUAGCUCAGGACUGUUUUGAUUCUCAUAACCCUUUAAGGUGUUUUAAGAGAGAUUAUGUUGUGAAUAAAAUAGUUUAUCCAAAAAUAAAAUGUCUUAUCAGUUACCUUUAUUUUGUUUCUUAUCCAUAUGACUUACAAAAGGAGAAAUUAGGCAGAAUGAUGUGUCAUUAAGAUACUUUUUUAUAU